CCUACGGGAGGCAGCAGUGGGGAAUAUUGCACAAUGGGCGCAAGCCUGAUGCAGCAACGCCGCGUGAGGGACGACGGCCUUCGGGUUGUAAACCUCUUUUAGUAGGGAAGAAGCGAAAGUGACGGUACCUGCAGAAAAAGCACCGGCUAACUACGUGCCAGCAGCCGCGGUAAUACGUAGGGUGCAAGCGUUAUCCGGAAUUAUUGGGCGUAAAGAGCUCGUAGGCGGUUUGUCGCGUCUGCUGUGAAAACUGGAGGCUCAACCUCCAGCCUGCAGUGGGUACGGGCAGACUAGAGUGCGGUAGGGGAGAUUGGAAUUCCUGGUGUAGCGGUGGAAUGCGCAGAUAUCAGGAGGAACACCGAUGGCGAAGGCAGAUCUCUGGGCCGUAACUGACGCUGAGGAGCGAAAGCAUGGGGAGCGAACAGGAUUAGAUACCCUGGUAGUCCAUGCCGUAAACGUUGGGAACUAGAUGUAGGGACCAUUCCCAGGGUUUCUGUGUCGCNGCUACGACAUACGUUACCCGUCCGUCGGAGGUACGGACCGCGACGACGUAACGUACGAAGAAGUAGACGGCGUGAGACGUCGCGACGGACGACGACGAGGGAGGAGG
rnacentral:rRNA from 1 species